rnacentral:rRNA from 1 species
UACGUAGGGUGCGAGCGUUGUCCGGAAUUAUUGGGCGUAAAGGGCUCGUAGGCGGUUUGUCGCGUCGGGAGUGAAAACACUGGGCUUAACUCAGUGCUUGCUUCCGAUACGGGCAGACUAGAGGUAUGCAGGGGAGAACGGAAUUCCUGGUGUAGCGGUGAAAUGCGCAGAGUAUCAGGAGGAACACCGGUGGCGAAGGCGGUUCUCUGGGCCGAUACUGACGCUGAGGAGCGAAAGCGUGGGGAGCGAACAGG